AUUGAACGCUGGCGGCAUGCUUUACACAUGCAAGUCGAACGGGAACAGGCCUUCGGGUGCUGACGAGGGGCGGACGGGUGAGUAAUGCAGCGGAACGGGGCCAGAGGUGGGGGGUAACGCAGCGAAAGCUGUGCUAAUACCGCAGGGGAUCUGAGGAUAAAAGCGGGGGACCAGGCAGCAAUGUUUGGCCUCGCGCCUUUGGGUCGGCCGAUGUCAGAGUAGGUAGUUGGUGGGGUAAAGGCCGACCAAGCCGACGAUCUGUAGCUGGUCUGCGAGGACGACCAGCCACACUGGGACUGAGACACGGCCCAGACUCCUACGGGAGGCAGCAGUGGGGACUUUUGGACGAUGGGCGCAAGCCUGAUCCAGCAAUGCCGCGUGCGGGAAGAAGGCCUUCGGGUUGUAAACCGCUUUUGUACGGAACGAAAAGGCUCUGGCUAAUACCUGGGGAUGAUGACGGUACCGUAAGAAUAAGCACCGGCUAACUACGUG
rnacentral:rRNA from 1 species